rnacentral:lncRNA from 1 species
UUAGACUUCAUUUUCAUUCUUACAUCUGAAGCUUGUGGCUUCAUCUUCAAGUUACUCAACAUUUACUCCUAUUCAACAACUUUUUAUCUUAGUAUUGCAGCUUCUUGUAGCCCUCCCAAAGAAACUUUAGAUCUUGAUCUUGUACCUGAGGCUAGAUGCAUGGCCACAUAAUCAAUGAAGGGAUUUGAAUGCAAAUCUUGAUGACCAGAAUUUGGUACUGCAACCUCAAGGAUUGUU